CAGGGAGGGCGGGGAGGGCGGGGGUCCUCCGGGGCUGAGCGUGGAGAACCAGAAGCCGCGUCCCUAAAGGUGGAGCCACCCGCGCGCGCACCCAAGCCAGCCCGAACCUUGACUGCCAGACGCGGCGGUGGCAGUCGCCGCAGUCUGCACUUUAUACCCCAUCCCCUCCAGAGGGAGGCAACUCAGGACAAGGACUUUCAUAUCCAUCAACCAUUGGGGACACAGUGUAGUGGAGCUCAGAGACCACAGUGGACAAAGUAAGUCCCUAUUCUUCCUCUCACCAGGAAGCUCUUUUUCCUCUCUGACAAGUU
rnacentral:lncRNA from 1 species